rnacentral:rRNA from 1 species
AGAGUUUGAUCAUGGCUCAGGACGAACGCUGGCGGCGUGCUUAACACAUGCAAGUCGAACGGAAAGGCCCUUCGGGGUACUCGAGUGGCGAACGGGUGAGUAACACGUGGGUGAUCUGCCCUGCACUUUGGGAUAAGCCUGGGAAACUGGGUCUAAUACCGGAUAGGACCGCAUGCUUCAUGGUGUGUGGUGCAAAGCUUUUGCGGUGUGGGAUGAGCCCGCGGCCUAUCAGCUUGUUGGUGGGGUAAUGGCCUACCAAGGCGACGACGGGUAGCCGGCCUGAGAGGGUGACCGGCCACACUGGGACUGAGACACGGCCCAGACUCCUACGGGAGGCAGCAGUGGGGAAUAUUGCACAAUGGGCGCAAGCCUGAUGCAGCGACGCCGCGUGAGGGAUGACGGCCUUCGGGUUGUAAACCUCUUUCAAUAGGGACGAAGCGCAAGUGACGGUACCUAUAGAAGAAGCACCGGCCAACUACGUGCCAGCAGCCGCGGUAAUACGUAGGGUGCGAGCGUUGUCCGGAAUUACUGGGCGUAAAGAGCUCGUAGGUGGUUUGUCGCGUUGUUCGUGAAAACUCACAGCUUAACUGUGGGCGUGCGGGCGAUACGGGCAGACUAGAGUACUGCAGGGGAGACUGGAAUUCCUGGUGUAGCGGUGGAAUGCGCAGAUAUCAGGAGGAACACCGGUGGCGAAGGCGGGUCUCUGGGCAGUAACUGACGCUGAGGAGCGAAAGCGUGGGGAGCGAACAGGAUUAGAUACCCCGGUAGUCCAA